rnacentral:sRNA from 1 species
AAUGAUACUUCUGCAAGGCAAUGCAGCCCGCAUGAUGGCGGGAUAUGUAUGUUCCGGGUUGGAAAUAAUAUCCGUUACGGCAUAU